rnacentral:rRNA from 1 species
UACGUAGGGGGCAAGCGUUGUCCGGAUUUAUUGGGCGUAAAGAGCGUGUAGGCGGCCAGACAGGUCCGUUGUGAAAACUCGAGGCUCAACCUCGAGAUGUCGAUGGAAACCGUCUGGCUAGAGUCCGGAAGAGGAGUGUGGAAUUCCUGGUGUAGCGGUGAAAUGCGCAGAUAUCAGGAGGAACACCUAUUGCGAAGGCAGCUCGCUGGGACGCAACUGACGCUGAGACGCGAAAGCGUGGGGAGCAAACAGG